rnacentral:lncRNA from 1 species
UGAUGUCCUAGGAAAAUAAGUCUGGGGACACAGAUUUUAAUAAAAUAUUAAUACAAAACUGUAUAACCGAAAAUUGAAACAUAAAAUUCAUAUUGAUCUUUUAAAAUAAAGGUCAUGGACGAUUUUACCUAGGAAAAUUAUUGACAUGGACACGAUUUUCCUAGGAAAAUUAGUCUGAGGACAUCAACUGUAUUAAAAUAUUAUAACACAACUUUAUCUUUCAAAAUAAAGGUCUGGCAUUUUACCUAGCAAUUUUAUUAACAUGGACAUGAUUUCCUAGGAAAAUUAGUCUAGGGACAUUCAUUUCGUUGGAUUUUUAAUGCCCGAGCUCUUGAACAGAACUAUAUUUUAAAACAUAAAAAUUGCAUUUCCAUGUGAAUAAUUUGUUUCAUUAAAACGUUCCUUUUAAAAUACAGGACAUGGAUAAAUUUACCUAGGAAUAUUAAUGACAUGGAC